rnacentral:lncRNA from 1 species
CGGCAGUAAGGCGUGGCGGACUCAAACGGCAAACAGGCGGCACAGACAUACAAGCAAACGUGCAAUGCGAGUAGUAGUGAGAGCCAAAGUAAAAACGUAAAAAACGGCACGACCACGCGAACAAGCAUAAAAGCAAGGGCAGCCCAAAAAACGCAAUGGGGUCCACACGAUGCCCGGAGCACACGCACACACACUCACGCAGACACACACGCAAAGCCCCGACAACCAACAACGGCGGGGGAGGAAAGGUUAGGGGGCGCGGCGGGGCUCGGAUGAGCUCCCACCACCGCGCCAACCCACGAGGCAACUCCCAGAUGCACUCGUGAGCGGACAACCAACAACGGCGGGGGAGGAAAGGUUAGGGGGCGCGGCGGGGCUCGGAUGAGCUCCCACCACCGCGCCAACCCACGAGGCAACUCCCAGAUGCACUCGUGAGCGGACACAGCGGCGAGGGAUCAAGGGGGCCCCGCGGCCAACAAACACGGGGGGGGGCGCACGUCAGGCCCGUUGUGCUUACCUGGAGGCCGUCGAAAGGCCGCUCGCCGACAAUCAUUUCCUGUUAUCACGAGUGAGCAGAAUGCAGGCAGCCGAUUUAAAUGGCUGCCCCGCCGCAAUUUGAUCGAACCCAAGCGUUUCACCGAAUGGGCUGUAAAGAUGUAACCCUGAUGUCCUUGCUAGUUGCUUCCCAGCACAAGUUUGCUCCGCAGGCCAAUAUGCACCCAAAGAGCAGUGGCGUAGGUUCCUUCCACAACACGGGUACCGUUGUGCACCGUUGUGCAGCGUUGUUCACUCACCCACAUAAGGACGCCUGUGGCAGGCAACAGGCAGAGGAAAACGAAGCUCAAGGGAUAACAGUAGCCGGGCGAUCAGUGGCUCUCGGUGGUCGAGAAAUCAGCAGUGGUGGAACUCAAGCAACCCGCAGUUCCCCCAACCAAGCAACCAACCAACCAACCCCCCCCCCAUACACGGGGGGGUAGCCAUNNNNNNNNNNNNNNNNNNNNNNNNNNNNNNNNNNNNNNNNNNNNNNNNNNNNNNNNNNNNNNNNNNNNNNNNNNNNNNNNNNNNNNNNNNNNNNNNNNNNGGGGGGGUAGCCAUCCAUGGGAUGGUGUGUAUCAAAGAUGAAGUGAAGUGCCGACGUCCAGAGGUACAGCGGGCACACGCGACGCAUUCCAUACCGUUGUUUCGCCAGCGGCAGGCUGCUGGUUCCCCCGUGUUUCCGUGGCGGCUAACGCUAAAAUACUAAGUUCCUAUUGAAAGCAAGUAGUCUGGAGUAGUAGUGGUGAUAAGUAAGGCUCGUUGGUAAAGAAGCUGAGUGCAUGCGUCUAGGUGGCUAGCUUAGCUGCUGCGGCGCGAAACCGGGACCCCGCGAACUCACCUAAUCGCUCAGCAAUGCAAGCCACGCCAGAGCCGCGCGCGCAGGGGGAAGCACACACAGGAAAUGGGCGAGCGGCAGUAAGGCGUGGCGGACUCAAACGGCAAACAGGCGGCACAGACAUACAAGCAAACGUGCAAUGCGAGUAGUAGUGAGAGCCAAAGUAAAAACGUAAAAAACGGCACGACCACGCGAACAAGCAUAAAAGCAAGGGCAGCCCAAAAAAACGCAAUGGGGUCCACACGAUGCCCGGAGCACACGCACACACACUCACGCAGACACACACGCAAAGCCCCGACAACCAACAACGGCGGGGGAGGAAAGGUUAGGGGGCGCGGCGGGGCUCGGAUGAGCUCCCACCACCGCGCCAACCCACGAGGCAACUCCCAGAUGCACUCGUGAGCGGACACAGCGGCGAGGGAUCAAGGGGGCCCCGCGGCCAACAAACACGGGGGGGGGCGCACGUCAGGCCCGUUGUGCUUACCUGGAGGCCGUCGAAAGGCCGCUCGCCGACAAUCAUUUCCUGUUAUCACGAGUGAGCAGAAUGCAGGCAGCCGAUUUAAAUGGCUGCCCCGCCGCAAUUUGAUCGAACCCAAGCGUUUCACCGAAUGGGCUGUAAAGAUGUAACCCUGAUGUCCUUGCUAGUUGCUUCCCAGCACAAGUUUGCUCCGCAGGCCAAUAUGCACCCAAAGAGCAGUGGCGUAGGUUCCUUCCACAACACGGGUACCGUUGUGCACCGUUGUGCAGCGUUGUUCACUCACCC